rnacentral:rRNA from 1 species
GCACAACGCGAAGAACCUUACCAAGGCUUGACAUGCAUCUCUAAGCGCGUGAAAGCGCGUGACCCUUCGGGGGAUUUGCACAGGUGCUGCAUGGCCGUCGUCAGCUCGUGUCGUGAGAUGUUGGGUUAAGUCCCGCAACGAGCGCAACCCUUGUGACUAGUUGCCAGCACGUUAUGGUGGGAACUCUAGUCAGACUGCCCAGAUCAACUGGGAGGAAGGUGGGGAUGACGUCAAGUCAUCAUGGCCCUUACGGCCUGGGCUACACACGUGCUACAAUGGUCGGUACAGAGGGUUGCCAAGCCGCGAGGUGGAGCUAAUCCCAGAAAACCGAUCGUAGUCCGGAUCGCAGUCUGCAACUCGACUGCGUGAAGUCGGAAUCGCUAGUAAUCGCGAAUCAGAAUGUCGCGGUGAAUACGUUCCCGGGUCUUGUACACACCG